CUUGUCCCUAGAAGCAUUGCAGAUGUGGCUGCUGUGUCACAUGUAUGCCACGAGGUGGCAGAGGGAAGAGAGGCUGUGUCAACAUUCAGUAUACUAACGUAAGAACAUCUGAAUGAUUAGUAACCUAAUAUU
ensembl:snoRNA Gm24470 predicted gene, 24470